rfam:Gossypium arboreum cultivar AKA8401 contig_363_5, whole genome shotgun sequence.
UGUUAAAAUUUUUAUCCAUUUCUACAAAUUGUUAAAAACUGGCGUGGCUAAUGGAAUAAACGGAUAGUUAUACGUGACAUGCCACUUGCACCUCAUGCAGACAUAUAGGGACCAAAUUUUAACAGUAAAAGUGGAUGGAAUUUUUAACA